UGCAGUCGUACGAGAGUUUUUAACUCUAGUGGCGGACGGGUGAGUAACACGUGAGAAUUUGCCUUUAGGAGGGGGACAACAAUCGGAAACGAAUGCUAAUACCCCAUAUGCUUUCGAGUGAAAUGGAUUUUAUCCGCCUAGAGAGAAGCUCGCGGCUGAUUAGCUUGUUGGUAAGGUAAGAGCUUACCAAGGCGACGAUCAGUAUCUGGUUUGAGAGGACGAUCAGACACACUGGAACUGAGACACGGUCCAGACUCCUACGGGAGGCAGCAGUGGGGAAUUUUCCGCAAUGGGCGAAAGCCUGACGGAGCAAUACCGCGUGAGGGAAGAAUGCCUAUGGGUUGUAAACCUCUUUUUUCAGGGAGGAAUCAAAUGACGUGUACCUGAAGAAUAAGCAUCGGCUAACUCCGUGCCAGCAGCCGCGGUAAGACGGAGGAUGCAAGUGUUAUCCGGAAUCACUGGGCGUAAAGCGUCUGUAGGUGGUUUAAUAAGUCAACUGUUAAAUCUUGAUGGCUCAACUUCAAAAUCGCAGUCGAAACUAUUAGACUAGAGUAUAGUAGAGGUAAAGGGAAUUUCCAGUGGAGCGGUGAAAUGCGUAGAUAUUGGAAAGAACACCGAUGGCGAAAGCACUUUACUGGGCUAUUACUAACACUCAGAGACGAAAGCUAGGGUAGCAAAUGGGAUUAGAUACCCAGUAGUCUAGCUGUAAACAUGGAUCUAGAUGUUGACAGAUCGACUGUGCAGUAUCAAGCUACGCGUU
rnacentral:rRNA from 1 species